UUUGGAUCAAGCUCAGCAAGCACAACGGCGUCAAAUUCACAUUUUGCCGAAGGCGACAAUGGAAUGCCAAAAAAGUGGCGCCAGCAAGAAGGCAGUUUUACAGACAUGUAAUCGGCCCCUAGAACUAAUCCAAAUCCCCGCAUGUAAUCAGACAAAUUAAGCGCCUAAACCUAAACCUAAU
rnacentral:lncRNA from 7 species